UGCGCAGGCGGAAUAAUUAGUCAGUGGUGAAAUCUCCCGGCUCAACCGGGAAACUGCCAUUGAUACUGUUAUUCUUGAGUAUAGUUGUAGUGGGCGGAAUAUAGCAUGUAGCGGUGAAAUGCUUAGAUAUGCUAUAGAACACCGAUCGCGAAGGCAGCUCACUAAACUAUAACUGACGCUCAGGCACGAAAGCGUGGGGAGCAAACAGGAUUAGAUACCCUGGUAGUC
rnacentral:rRNA from 1 species